GAUGAACGCUGGCGGCGUGCCUAAUACAUGCAAGUCGAGCGAACGGACGAGAAGCUUGCUUCUCUGAUGUUAGCGGCGGACGGGUGAGUAACACGUGGAUAACCUACCUAUAAGACUGGGAUAACUUCGGGAAACCGGAUCUAAUACCGGAUAAUAUUUUGAACCGCAUGGUUCAAAAGUGAAAGACGGGCGUGCUGUCACUUAUAGAUGGAUCCGCGCUGCAUUAGCUAGUUGGUAAGGUAACGGCUUACCAAGGCAACGAUGCAUAGCCGACCUGAGAGGGUGAUCGGCCACACUGGAACUGAGACACGGUCCAGACUCCUACGGGAGGCAGCAGUAGGGAAUCUUCCGCAAAGGGCGAAAGCCUGACGGAGCAACGCCGCGUGAGUGAUGAAGGUCUUCGGAUCGUAAAACUCUGUUAUUAGGGAAGACCAUAUGUGUAAGUAACUGUGCACAUCUUGACGGUACCUAAUCAGAAAGCAACGGCUAACUACGUG
rnacentral:rRNA from 1 species